UCUACCUCUCUCUCCGGACGUCCCCCCGCCCUCGAAGAGAUUGAGCAGCCGCUACUGUUCCAUUGGAUCGAUUCUGGGGUUUGAGAUCUACAUCGUGUGGACCCGUCCAGAUUCAAACAAAUGAAAAUGGCUGUUCCUCUCGCCAGUCUGUGGGAUUGCACCGAGGAAAAGUGAUCCAAGCACAGAGAGAGAGAGAGAGAGACCGACGCAGUCCCCCACCUACCAACACUCGCAAAAAGGGGGAGGAGCUCACGCGAGCCCACUGCACAUGUCAAAAGUAGCUUCUUCGUCUUCGGCUCCUUUUCACAGUGGCUGGACUUACUACGCUGCAGCAGCGUCGACAGGUGGUCGGCCCUUUUUUGCUUUCCAACCGAUGCCUGCCAUCUUCUUGGCAAACAUCGCAGUUGCCUAUGCGUUGGGGCGUCGCUGAAAUGACUCCUCCGCUCUCGUUGGUCAUUCCACACUCGUCUCUAUCAUUCUUAUUCUUGUGUUCGUGGAAGAAGCUUAAUCCUACCCCGAUCACCAUGCUUCCAUCUGUGAACGUUAUUACUAUGCGAAGCUUGGAAUAUUCGUAGAUAUGGGGAUGCAGGAUUGUGUUUGUGGGGGUGGGGGGGGGAAGAGGACCUUUGUAUUAAGAACAUAAUCUAAAAAUAUUUAGUUAA